UUCCAGUCCCUAACAUACAUCUGAUCAUCAUCUUGAAAUAUAAAAUUGGAUUAUGGUUCAAAAUUUUCUAUCGAUUCAAAAGAAUAAGUUUGUUUUUGUCGCCGAAAAGGGGAAGAGAAAAGUAAGUAAUUCUCGAUCGCAAACCGAUCCAGACUGAGACACCUUAAUUCUAAUACUAACAUACUCUGGUGCAAUGACAGAAGAAAACGGAACAGCUGUCCGUCCGCAAAACAAUUUACUAUACCUCGAAUCUGGUGGAUCUGACAAAGAUAAAAGAGGGAUGGAACUCGAAAAUGAGAAAGGUUUACGACCCCAGAGGAACGACAGCAUUCUUCCCGAUGAUUUGAACUUUCUGGGGCGUAAAAAGAAGAAACGGACUAACAAACCA